rnacentral:tRNA from 1 species
AGGCGGGUAGCUCAAUUGGCAGAGCAGUGGCCUCCAAAUCCACCGGUUGCAGGUUCAAGUCCUGUCCCGCCUGACA